rnacentral:rRNA from 1 species
AUUGAACGCUGGCGGCAUGCUUUACACAUGCAAGUCGAACGGCAGCGCGGGCUUCGGCCUGGCGGCGAGUGGCGCACGGGUGAGUAAUACAUCGGACCGUGCCCAGUAUUGGGGGAUAGCUCGGCGAACGCCGGAUAAAUACCGCAAACGACCUUAGCGGCAAAGCGGGGGAUGUUCGGACCUCGCGCUAUUGGAGCGGCCGAUGGCAGAUUAGCUAGUUGGUGGGGUAAAGGCCUACCAAGGCGACGAUCUGUAGCCGGUCUGAGAGGACGACCAGCCACACUGGGACUGAGACGCGGCCCAGACUCCUACGGGAGGCAGAAGUGGGGAAUGUUGGACAAUGGGCGAAAGCCUGAUCCAGCAAUGCAGCGUGUGUGAUGAAGGCCUUCGGGUUGUAAAGCACUUUUGGCGGGAACGAAAAGGACUGUGCCAAUACCACGGUUCGAUGACGGUACCCGCAGAAUAAGCACCGGCUAACUACGUG